rfam:Ciona savignyi cont_547, whole genome shotgun sequence.
GUCGUCGUGGCCGAGUGGUUAAGGCGACAGACUAGAAAUCUGUUGGGCUCUGCCCGCGCAGGUUCGAAUCCUGCCGGCGACG